UACGUAGGGGGCGAGCGUUGUCCGGAAUCAUUGGGCGUAAAGCGCGUGUAGGCGGCCCGGUAAGUCCGCUGUGAAAGUCCAGGGCUCAACCCUGGGAUGCCGGUGGAUACUGUCGGGCUCGAGUCCGGAAGAGGCGAGUGGAAUUCCUGGUGUAGCGGUGAAAUGCGCAGAUAUCAGGAGGAACACCAAUGGCGAAGGCAGCUCUCUGGGACGGUACUGACGCUGAGACGCGAAAGCGUGGGGAGCGAACAGG
rnacentral:rRNA from 1 species